rnacentral:snRNA from 1 species
AUACUCACCUGGCAGGGGAGAAACCAUGAUCACAGAGGUGGUUUUCCCAGGACGAGGCUCAUCCACUUUACUCAGGGCAUGCUGACCACUGCAAUUUCCCCAAAUUCAGGAAACUUGACUGCAUAAUGUGUGGUAAUGGAAACUUGUUCUUGCUCUCCC